rnacentral:other from 1 species
AUACUCCUGGGGUGUGCGAUAACUCCUAUUGUUUUGAACCUACAUUAUGACAUUCGGGAUUCCAAGAUCGCUUAGCAGAUGUCAGGCCGUCAUUAUGCAGCGGAAGGCAGAAGCUUAAGUUGAGGAUUUACCCACCUAGCACGGCUAGGCGUCAAAAGAUAGGAGCCGGCACUUUGGGACAUAC